AUCAUAUUUUUAUUACGUAUUAAUAAAAGCAAAACAAUAAAAACGCAGGCUUCAUCAAAAUAGUAAGUAUAGUAUUACGGCUGUGAAUUACAAUAGUUGUUAGCAGAAUUUAAUAUAUGUAGGUACAUGUAACAUAAAUUGUAUCAAACAACAUUCCCGUUUCGAUAACCUCGCUCGAUAACACCAAGUUCCCGGUUUUCAAUUAAUUUAAUUAUCGUAUCGUAUUAAAAGUAAUGUUGCUGAGCUAAUAUGAGCGUUCGAUUAAUGUUAAGUCGCACUUACACGAGUUCUUACUACAUUAAGACCUCUUUCGAAAUUCCAGAAAAUUAACUCGUCAUUUACUUUUAAUACAACCUUUUUUAACAGCUGUCAACGGUCAAAACAUGAGUAAGUUUAAGUAGCGAGAUCAGAUGAUAAUCUUUCUGGUUUUUGUUGGAUCUGCCUGUUGUUCUAAAGGUCAAACGUACCCGUGUUACCUGGGGUAACAAUAUAAAGGGACUGACUGACCUUCAGACAAAAAAUAAACGGCCCGUUUUGUCUGUUAUUUUAAGUGGUGUUUACCUACUAGGGAAUGAAGAGAUAAGAAUUAAAUCAGAGUCUAGAGUUAGUUCUUAUAAAUAAGCAAGUAAGCUUAUUUGAAACAUUUAUUCUGGGGAUUAAACCGACCGAUCAAAACUGGAUAAAGAAGGGGAGUUUUUCUGUGCGGGUAACGACCGCGGCAGGUGGUAAAUAAAAUGGCGGCUGAUAAAUAAAUUACGAGAAAAAAAUGUGCAACAAAAACUGUAGAGCGAGGACGGGCGAGCCCGCCAAUGUCAAAUAAAGGUCGUCGGAACA